rnacentral:rRNA from 1 species
AACAAAGGUUUCCGUAGGUGACCUGCGGAAGGAUCAUUG